rnacentral:rRNA from 1 species
GAUGAACGCUGGCGGCGUGCUUAACACAUGCGAGUCGAACGGAAAGGCUCCUGCUUGCAGGGGUACUCGAGUGGCGAACGGGUGAGUAACACGUGGGUGAUCUGCCCUGCACUUCGGGAUAAGCCUGGGAAACUGGGUCUAAUACCGGAUAGGACGAUGGUUUGGAUGCCAUUGUGGAAAGUUUUUUCGGUGUGGGAUGAGCUCGCGGCCUAUCAGCUUGUUGGUGGGGUAAUGGCCUACCAAGGCGUCGACGGGUAGCCGGCCUGAGAGGGUGUACGGCCACAUUGGGACUGAGAUACGGCCCAGACUCCUACGGGAGGCAGCAGUGGGGAAUAUUGCACAAUGGGCGCAAGCCUGAUGUAGCGACGCCGCGUGGGGGAUGACGGCCUUCGGGUUGUAAACUCCUUUCGCUAGGGACGAAGCGCAAGUGACGGUACCUGGAGAAGAAGCACCGGCUAACUACGUG